UUCUAGCUUUGCUUGGUGGUUAUCCUACGACUUCUAAGCAAUCUCAAGAAUGACUGAAUCCGAGCAAACGCGUAGGAUGAUCGUGACACGCUAGGGUGGACUUGGCCUUAGUGACAUAAAACAGAACUAGACGUAGUUUAAUCACGUCAUGCGCUCUUUAUUUAUGUAGUUCUAAGACAAUGUAACUUGUUGGUUCUUGUUUAAAACAAUGUAAUCCACC
rnacentral:lncRNA from 1 species